CUGAUGGGCCGUUUGGAGACUCAAGUUGAGUAUAAGGCUUACUCAGCGGCGGUGUAUAAAUGUAUUAAAUCCAGCGAAAUAUCCAGGGAAUGGGCUGACCUAAUUUCUUUUCUUCAAAAUUUAAAUAAGGUUAUUAGUUGUGCUCGUCCGUUUUCGGAUCUUCCGCACAAACGCUUGGUUGCUAAGAAGCUUGCUCAGUGUUUAAGCCCCUCGCUUCCCAGCGGAGUCCACCUAAAAGCUCUUGAGGUUUACGACCUGAUUUUUUAAACGUCUUGGGAUAGUGCAGCUCAAAAAUGAUAUUCACCUCUACACAGUUGGACUACUGCCUUUGUUUAGCGAGGCACCUAUUAGCGUUAAACCUUCUUUGCUUGCUAUAUACGAAAAUCACUUUUUGCCGCUCGGCCCAUCCUUAUCCCCCUGCUUUCUUCCAUCCUUAUGUCGAUACUUCCUGGUCUAGAGGAUGGUGGAGAAUUUUUUAACAGGACUCUGGAUUUACUCGACAGAGUGUGUAAGCAGGU